rnacentral:rRNA from 1 species
AUUGAACGCUGGCGGCAGGCCUAACACAUGCAAGUCGAACGAGUGGCGGACGGGUGAGUAAUGUCUGGGAAACUGCCUGAUGGAGGGGGAUAACUACUGGAAACGGUAGCUAAUACCGCAUACCAUCAGAUGUGCCCAGAUGGGAUUAGCUAGUUGGUGGGGUAACGGCUCACCAAGGCGACGAUCCCUAGCUGGUCUGAGAGGAUGACCAGCCACACUGGAACUGAGACACGGUCCAGAUUCCAACGGGAGGCAGCAGUGGGGAAUAUUGCACAAUAGGAGCAAGCCAGAUGAAGGCAUGCCGCGUGUAUGAAGGAGGCCUUCGGGUUGUAAAGUACUUUCAGCGGGGAGGCGUUACCCGCAGAAGAAGCACCGGCUAACUCCGUGCCAGCAGCCGCGGUAAUUC